GAUGAAGAACGCAGCGAAAUGCGAUACGUAAUGUGAAUUGCAGAAUUCAGUGAAUCAUCGAAUCUUUGAACGCAUAUUGCGCUCUCUGGUAUUCCGGAGAGCAUGCUUGUUUGAGUAUCAGUAAACACCUCAACUUCCAUAUCUUUUUUGAAAUGGGAGUUGGACUUGAGUGAUCCCAACGCUUUCUUCCAAGAAAGUGGCGGGUUGCUUGAAAUGCAGGUGCAGCUGAACUUUUCUCUGAGCUAUAAGCAUAUCUAUUUAGUCUGCCUAAAAAACAGAUUAUUACCUUUGCUACAGCUAACAUAAAGGAGACUAGUUCUUGUGCUGACUGAUGCAGGAUUCACAGAGACAGCUUCGGCUGACUUUGUAAACUCGAUCUCAAAUCAAGUAAGACUACCCGCUGAACUUAAGCAUAUCAAUAAGCGGAGGA
rnacentral:misc_RNA from 1 species